rnacentral:lncRNA from 1 species
AUUGUGCAGUUAGUUUGAGAUGUGCGUAAUCCUGAUUAUGAACGAAACACAUACCACUUGAGCGAAAGGAUCAAUCUUCAUCUAUUUUUUUAGUGCGUGAUUGCAGUGAAGACUCGGAUUUUAAAGUCAAGUAUUAUUUACUUUCUUAAAUCAUUAUAAAUAAUUCAUUAUGGAACACGUUUAUUAAACUUUAUAUCAAAGAUAUAAAUGCAUUUUGGAAAAAUAUGAUGUCACACUCAAAAUUAUACCUAUUGAUACAAAAAAAAAUCAUAAAAAUACUGAACUCGGAGGAAAAUUAUAGUAUAUUAUGUUGUUGAAUCCCAAGUAAUGCGUUUGUAUUUUUUUUUAAAUGAAAACAACGUUAAAUAAUUUUAUGCGUUCGAAGCGGUGUUUUCUGGAUUAACCUUCGUCAGGAACUUUCAAAGCAGAAUAUUUAAAAGCUUAGAAUUAUAAGAACCGAAACAGUGGAAGCGCUUGAUGACAAAAAUCCUGAAAAAAAUAGCCGAAUCCAUCUAAGAUCAACUGGAGUUGAAACCUUAGUCUCUUUAUAAUUCCAAAAUUUAUAAAUAGACAAUUUAAGAAAGGUCUGUUAUAAAUCAUGUUAGUACGGAGGUAGUGACUACUGAGCUAAUGUUCCCCUGGGGCUGAUAGUCUACAAGCAGAAGUAUCAACCAAUUGUUAUAAAAAAAGAAAACCGCACGUUAAAUAAUUGCCUGCGUCUGAAGCGCAUAUCUGGAUUUACCAUCAUCAGAACGCUCAAAUCCGAAUAUAUUAAAGCCUAGAAAGUUUAAGAACUAAACACAGUUGAGGAAUUCAUGGUAAAAAUUACCUUAAAACAACUGUACUUUUUUUAUUCAAUUCACUUACCUUUAGUUUGAAGGCUCAAUCGUUUCUUUUGUUUUUCCGUAUAGCUUGUUCGGUAUUGCAUAAAACCAAUGCCUUCUGUACUGUUGGACGACGCUGCAUAAAGUAAACUUAAAAGUGAAAGGAAUAAGUCAUGUUAGUCAAGCCUUUCAUUCUAUCAUUUACACAUUAUAUUUACAAAGUCAUUGAAACGCUUUCAUAGAUGCUUUUAAAACCAAACAGGACCAGUUCACUAUUACUUUUAUGAUCAUACAUUAGCUAUCUUAUUCACCAAAGGAUUCUUGGACGUAUUGGUAUGGAUGAUCACAAUAUUUGUUUUCUCAACUUCUUUAUUAUCUGUAUUGUUGAAAAAUCUUUUGAAGACUGAAAUUCCCAAGGCUUCCAAUAUUGAACUUAUGAAUGAAACAAUUACAGAAAGGUACUUAUCCAAACACGUAACGGAUCAGCGUUAAACUCAACCGUGGAUGGCCGGUAUAUCGUUGAAAUUUUGUUCUUUGUCUUUUGAUACUUAAUUUGUAACUGAUAAACGCAUAUCCUAGAUAACUGCAAAUUCCACCAAAAUAUUAAAGUUGAACAACGAUUUAGGAAAAAAACGACAGGAUUAAAACUUUGAACAGAUUUAUGUAUUUGAUUACUGAUACAUCAGACAUCUAUAAGUUUAUCAGGUUGGUGAAUGUUGAUAACAUGACAUUGUCCUUUAUCUAAUGAUGUAUAUCUGCUGUAAAUGUGCCACAUUAAAUAAUUCGGCUGCAUUCUGGAAAUAUGUUGUGCAAUAUUUUUCUAAAUAUUGUUAUUGGUACUAAAUUCUAGAAAUUGUCUGUAUUCAAUGACUAAACUUUCCAAGAUUUAACAAUAAAAAAUGUAUUGAAAUCAUUAAAAAAAAUUAACGUGAUUAAAUUAUAAAGACAUGUACUUUUUGUUUUUAACAUUACAAAUCAACUCGUAAGUAACGUCCCAUGAAUUUCUUUACAUGAUAUUGAACCGAUGAAUGCAUUUUUUUCAGGUAUUUUCUUCGUAUAACAUUUCUUUGAAUCCAUAUCAAAAUGAAAUCAAAGUUGUAGUUCGGUGCUAUCACAACCGAGCAAAACAACAUUCAGAUGCAGGCGAUUAUAAUAUUACAGGAAGGAAUAAUGUAUAGCCACGAUGCUAAACAGAUAUACUUCAGAGAUGCCCUUUUCAGUCCUGACAACAAUUGUAUUGACAAACAAGAGCUGUAAAUUACCACCAAGGACCAGGCCAACCAGUAGUGACACGACAAUAAUGAGAGGGUCUUACGAAAGCAACUUCUACUGCUCCGCAUGUUGAUGUAACGGUUUCCAUUAUUCUGAACUUCUACAGAAUCCACUGCAGAAAAUCAUUUUAAUCAAUUGAUCAUCGUUUAUCAACAAUAGGGUAGACUGAAGCAAAUUAAGUCUGAACAUUACCUUAUUAAGUA